CUGAAGACCAGAGAAAACACAGCAAGCCCCUGGAUCCUCCUGGAAUCCCCGAUCCCUCUUGCUCCCUGGCAGAGUUUUCUAGUCCCUCUUACUUGAAGCAUGUCUUUCAGAGCCCGGCACCACCCAUCUUGAGUAUCUGACUCAGCCCACCUGCACCCAGUUGAAAUAAACAGCCAUGUUGCUCACACAAAGCCUGUUUGGUGGUCUCUUCACAUGGACGGGCAUGAAAUUUGGUGCCGUGACUCGGAUCGGGGGACCUCCCUUAGGAGAUCAAUCCCCCAUCCUCCUGCUCUUUGCUCCGUGAGAGAGAUCCACCUAUGAGCUCAGGUCCUCAGACUCACCAGCCCAAGAAACAUCUCACCAAUUUCACUUCCGGAACCCACUGGAAAUCGGACUGUUCAACUCACCUGGCAGCCACUCCCAGAGCCCCUGGAACUCUGGCCCAAAGCUCUCUGACUGACUCCUUGGCUUAGCGGCUGAAGAUUGAUGCUGCCUGAUCUCCUCGGAAGCCCCGUAGACCAUCACAGACGCCGAGAUUUUGGUAACUCUCACAGUGGAGGGUAAGUCCGUCCCCUUCUUAAUCAAUACGGAGGCUACCCACUCCACAUUACUUUCUUUUCAAAGGCCUGUUUCCCUUGCCUCCAUAACUGUUGUAGGUAUUGACAGCCAGGCUUCUAAACCUCUUAAAACUCCCCAGCUCUGGUGCCAACUUAGACAAUAUUCUUUUAUGCACUCUUUUUUAGUUAUCCCCCUCUGCCCAGUUCCCUUAUUAGGCCGAGAUAUUUUAACAAAAUUAUCUGCUUCCCUGACUAUUCCUGGACUACAGCUGCAUCUCAUUGCCGCCCUUCUUCCCAAUCCAAAGCCUCCUUUGCAUCCUCCUCUUGUAUCCCCCCACCUUAACCCACAAGUAUAAGAUACCCCUACUCCCUCCUUGGUGACCGAUCAUGCACCCCUUACCAUCUCAUUAAAACCUAAU
rnacentral:lncRNA from 1 species